CCUACAACUGUCUCUGUCAGCAGAGACGCUAGUUUGAGCUCCAGCUUAAACGUAGGAAACCAGCGGACCUCUGGGAAUAAUUGCGCUCACAGCAUUACUUAUUUUACCAAAGUGUAAGAUUAUACCUUCAAAGAUGAUUAAACGGAAAUUAUCGCAUGUUGGAAUUAACACUGAAACGCGAGAGGAAUUAUUUUUUGCUUUGCAUCACGAUGACAACAACGGAUGGGUUGGAAACUUCAGCUAUAGAUCGUCAUUCGGGAGUUCUUGUGUCCGGGAUAAGUAGUGUGUAUCACUGACGCAGUAUUUCUGCUAGAAAUAUGAACAGUCGACGCACUUGGGUUAUACGUGUGAUCCACUAUGUCCACUGUCAGCGAUGGCCAGGGUCAUGCCAUCUUGUGCUUUUGGAAAUCGGCAUGCGUUGUGGAUUUUGGCACAAGAGAUGGAUGAUAUUUUGGUCGAGUUUGGAUAAUGUGAAUACACAUCUCUUGAUUCCACAGUAUCUUUUUCAACAAGCAGGACUUGAUAGAGUGGAGGAGUGCACACAAACCUCUCUUUUACCAGGGCAGUGCAAACUUUCUUUGGAGGGUCGGAGGAAACCGAAAGAAAACCGUCGCAGACACAGGAACACAGGGACACAGGAAGAAAGCCACCCAGAAAGGCCCGAGCUGGACUCGGACACGGACCAUCUUGGUGGGAGAUUUCAUUGCACAAUCCACUGUGCGGUCCUGUGAAAGAAAUUUAUAUAUAAUAUAAAUAAAUAAAAAUGUAGGGGUCUUCCGGUUGGACCUCGGAGAGAUGUAGCUUGAGUGUUGUAUAAAUGGUCUUGCUCUUAUAUAGCACUUUUCUACCUACUCAAAGCGCUU